rnacentral:rRNA from 1 species
UACGGAGGGGGCUAGCGUUGUUCGGAAUUAUUGGGCGUAAAGAGCUCGUAGGCGGUCUGUCGCGUCCGUUGUGAAAACUCGAGGCUCAACCUCGGGCUUGCAGUGGAUACGGGCAGACUAGAGUGCGGUAGGGGAGACUGGAAUUCCUGGUGUAGCGGUGAAAUGCGCAGAUAUCAGGAGGAACACCGAUGGCGAAGGCAGGUCUCUGGGCCACUACUGACGCUGAGAAGCGAAAGCAUGGGGAGCGAACAGG